rnacentral:rRNA from 1 species
AUUGAACGCUGGCGGCAGGCCUAACACAUGCAAGUCGAACGAGUGGCGGACGGGUGAGUAAUGUCUGGGAAACUGCCUGGUGGAGGGGGAUAACUACUGGAAACGGUAGCUAAUACCGCAUACCAUCAGAUGUGCCCAGAUGGGAUUAUCUUGUGGGUGGGGUAACGGCUCACCAAGGCGACGAUCCCUAGCUGGUCUGAGAGGAUGAUCAGCAUCACUGGAACUGGGACACGUUCCAGACUCCUACGGCAGGCAGCAGUGGGGACUAUUGCACAAUGGGCGCAAGCCUGAUGCAGCCAUGCCGCGUGUAUGAAGAAGGCCUUCGUGUUGUAAAGUACUUUCAGCUGGGAGGCGUUACCCGCUGAGGAAGCACCGGCUAACUCCGUGCCAGCAGCCGCGGUAAUAC